rnacentral:rRNA from 1 species
AGCGAACGCUGGCGGCAGGCCUAACACAUGCAAGUCGAACGGAUCCUUCGGGAUUAGUGGCGGACGGGUGAGUAACACGUGGGAACGUGCCCUUUGGUUCGGAACAACUCAGGGAAACUUGAGCUAAUACCGGAUGUGCCCUUCGGGGGAAAGAUUUAUCGCCAUUGGAGCGGCCCGCGUCUGAUUAGCUAGUUGGUGAGGUAACGGCCCACCAAGGCGACGAUCAGUAGCUGGUCUGAGAGGAUGAUCAGCCACACUGGGACUGAGACACGGCCCAGACUCCUACGGGAGGCAGCAGUGGGGAAUCUUGCGCAAUGGGCGAAAGCCUGACGCAGCCAUGCCGCGUGAAUGAUGAAGGUCUUAGGAUUGUAAAAUUCUUUCAGCGGGGACGAUAAUGACGGUACCCGCAGAAGAAGCUCCGGCUAACCUCGUG